rnacentral:lncRNA from 10 species
CAGCCCCCACCCCACCCGGUGGAAGUCCGAGGCCUGAGGGGGGGCAUCGAGCGGGGCGUGGGAGGCCCGCACGCUCCCCACCCCCAGCCGCGACCCGGAGGAGGGGAACGUGCCGGGAGGCUCGAGUCCCCCUCCCAGAGUGCUCUGGGCCGGAGAAACCUCCCGCAGGCUCCCGGGCCAGGCGUGCAAGGCCCCCUCUCCUGCCAGGGCCCAGGACGCUGCGGGCCCCAGCGGAGGGGAAGGGGACUAAGUAGGGGAAGAAGCUGUAAACAGCCCCAGCGUCCGGGCCUCGCCUCGAAGAGCCGCGCUUCCCAGGCCCAGCCGCGGGCCGCCCAGGCCCCCAGCCUGCCCCGGGGCCGCCGCGCCCGGGGUCCGGGACACCGGAGGGGAGUCGGGUCCCCUCCCCGGAGAGCUCCGGGAGCUCGCGGAGCGGCCCCAGGAGCAGAGAAGGGGGAAGUCAGGACUUACCUGUCAUUACUUUCUACGCCAUCUUGGAUCCACUUGUCAACGUCCCCACAAAGCAUUAUGGGUAAGAAAGAGCCUUUAAAGUGACUCCCCCCGGCCCCCGACUCCCGCCUCCCGCCGCCGGCGCCGCCCCCUCCGGCCGCGCCUCCCGCCCGGAAAGUUGCCCCGGGUGGACUGCCGACCCCGGCGCCCGCAGCUGGCCCCUUCCCCUCCCCCGGGCUGACGGCAUUGAAAAUUCACCCGCAUUUUUAAAACGUGGCUUUGGGGUUUUCUCCCUUUCUCCUGCCCCGGCCUCCCUGCCCCCACGCCCGGUCCUCUCGCCUCGCCGCGUUCCUGCCCGGGCAGACGCCCCGCGUCUGCAUUGAAUCAACCCGAGGUUUCCUUGCCGCCCGCGGCGCGGCGCGGAGCUGCUCGCGGAUUUAUUUGUGCGCGUGGAUGUGAGCGUUUCUGCUCCUGCGGCCGCGCUUCCAGGAAGCCCGCGAGCGGCCGGGGUCGCCUUCAGAGGCCGCGCAGACCAGCUCCGCACCCGCCGCCCGGAGAGGUGCCUCUGCCCUGGGAAACCGCCCCGGGGCCGUUGGGCUCCGGGAACUGGGAGGACGCCGUGUCCCCGAGUCCACCAGCGUCGAAGCACGAUUUAAAAAAAAAAAUUGAGCCAAAUGCAACUUUUUACCCCUUGUUUACUCUGUGUCCCGCGGUCUCCUCCUCCGGGCGGGUAACGUGAUCCGCGACCCUCUAGGUGGGGACCCCUCCCCUAGGAAUGUGGCUCCAGGCUCCGCGGAGCCACCCUGGGAGCGUCCGGGCUGCGGACUGUGACUCCGGGGCAGGCUCUCCCACGGAGCACCCUCUGCUGACUCUGCAGCCCCGCAGGCCUUCCUCGAACAGUCCAUGACAGGAAGCCAGGCUUCCUGGGGUCCUGAGUCAGCAGAGCAGGAAGGAAACAAAGGCCUCAGAACCGCAGAAGAGAAAGAAGGCAGCCUGAAGACAGAAGGCGACCCUCUGAAGACAGGUCUAGAGACUUAACGUAUGAUGUUCCUGGAGUCCUGUUGCCUGUCCUACUGCAACUCGAAUGGCACUUAGGCUCCACAAGACCAACUUCCUAUUUCUACAUCAGUGAAGGUUCGGAGUGGAGCUUUUCAUUCAGCAAAGACAGCAGGAAGCACAGGGUUCGGUGAUGAAUUCUCACGUGGUACCUCUUCAGUAGAAAAAUUCAAUAAGGUUUCUGACACUUUCUACCUAUGGGCCAGUUACAUACAGAAGAGAAAACUGAAACUGAAAACUGGUUUGUCAUUUUUACAGAAAGUCACUGCAAAGAAGGAGAAUUCCAAGUGCAAAUGACUUGAGGUGUUGAAUUGAGAACCAGGCAGAUCCACCACCUACAGUAAAGAUGACCCUAAAGUGAAUUGGUUGAAGAAAUUAGAUCCCAAAGAUUCUUGGUGAAUUUUCAAGUCUUCAUCAGUAUAUCCAUAUUAAAAGGAGAUGACAGAAGCCAAAAUAAAAGAAUUAUGGGCUGACGGGACAACUGGAUUAAAAUAAGCAUCAGUUUCGUUAAAAAGGGCUAACUUGAAGAUAAAUCUUUUGACUCCAGCUCUUUAGAGGAUCUAAAGUGACCCUGAUGGACAGUGGAAAAAAUCACAACAUGGAAUCCCUUGGAUAAAAAUCUAUUGACUUUGAAUAAUUUUGCCUAAUGUUACAUAAUACACAAUUAAAAAAAAAAAAAACCUUGGCCAGGCAUGGUGGCUCACACCUGUAAUCCCAGCACUUUGGGAGGCCGAGGUGGGCAGAUCACAAAGUCAAGAGAUCGAGACCAUCCUGGCCAAUAUGGUGAAACCCUGUCUGUACUAAAAAUAACUUACCUGGGCAUGGUGGCACUCGCCUGUAGUCCCAGCUACUCGGGAGGCUGAGGCAGGAGAGUGGCGUGAACCCAGGAGGCGGAGGUUGCAGUGAGCCGAGAUUGCACCACUGCACUCCAGCCUGGGCGAAAAGAGUGAGACUCCGUCUAAAAAAAAAAGAUUAUAGAUAGGCCAAAGCCAAAACCAGGGGUGCAAAAGGGAAAUAAAUCAGGAGCCAAGUACCAAGUGUCAGGAUCAGGAUCCAGAAAGGCAGGAUACAGCAGAGACACUAAAACCAGGACCAUGGUAAAAGUGAGACACUGGAGAAAGAAACCAAAGAGAACACUGUAACCGGGAGCCUAGCUAAUCUUGCAGUUGGAUUGAGAGGCAAACUGGGUGAUUUUUCCACUGGCUGACCUUUUAGAAGUUCCAGACAUGUUCUCCCAAAGGCACUAAGUUCUGGGUCCCAGAGAAGUGGGCUCAUGGCACGGCUGAUCUCAGAGUUGGUGCUUGUGCAGCUCCUGACACAAGGUGCCCCUCUAAAUGAAGAGCCAAGGAGCACACGUUUAUCGAAGGUCUACUUUGCGCCCCUUGUGGCAACACUCAUACUUGGAGGCAGAGGCUACCAUCAGAAUAUAAAUUUUAUCCUCAGGAAGAUGAGAAGACAACUGGCUUAGAAACUAGCUUAGAACAUUUCCAAGUUUGACACAGGGCCAGGGGCUGUCAAGCCUCAACCACAAUGCAAUCAACCACCAGCUCUAUUCCACAGGCGCAUGUCCAGGUCGGCUAAUAAAUGGAAAAGCCAGGAUUAAGAUUCAAGUUUCGUCCGGUCACGGUGGCUCACUCCUGUAAUCCCAGCACCUUGGGAGGCCAAGGCGGGCAGAUCAUGAGGUCAAGAAAUCGAGAUCAUCCUGGCCAACAUGGUGAAACCCCGUCUCUACUAAAAAUAUAAAAAUUAGCUGGGCACAGUGGUGCACGCCUGUAAUCCCAGCUACUUGGGAGGCAGAAGCAGGAGAAUCGCUUGAACCUGGGAGGUGGAGGUUGCAGUGAGCCGAGAUCUCGCCACUGCACUUCAGUCUGGGUGACAGAAUGAGACUCCGUCUCAAAAAAAAAAAAAAAAAAGAUUCAAGUUUCUUAGCCUGGGCAACAACGACGACAAAAAAUUCGGAGCUUAUGGUGGUGCAGGCCUGUAGUCCUAGCUACUCAGCAGGCUGUGGCAGGGGGUGUCACUUGGAGGCUGCAGUGAGCUAUGAUUGCACCACUGCACUCCAGCCUGGGCCACAGAGCAAGAUUCCGUUUCAGAAAAAAAAUAAAUAAAUUUGGGCCGGUCUCGGUGGCUCACGCCUGUAAUCCCAGCACUUUGGGAGACUGAGGCCGGUGGAUCACCUGAGAUCGGGAGUUCGAGGCCAGUCUGACCAACAUGGAGAAAUCCCCGUCUCUACUAAAAAUACAAAAUUAGCUAGGUGUGGUGGCGUAUGCCUGUAGUCCCAGCUACUCAAGAGGCUGAGGCUUGAACCCGGGAGGCAGAGGUUGCGGUGAGCCAAAAUCGCGCCAUUGCACUCCAGCCUGGGCAACAAGAGCGAAACUCCGUCUCAAAAAAAUAAAAUAAAUAAAAUAAAUAAAUUUUAUCAAUCAUGGUGGUGUUUUUUGUUGUUGUUGUUGCUGUUUGACAGGGUCUUAAAAAUAAAUAAUUUAAGUAAAUAAAAAUAAAUAAUU